rnacentral:rRNA from 1 species
GUAGGUGGGCAAGCGUUGUCCGGAAUUAUUGGGCGUAAAGCGCGCGCAGGGCGGUCCUUUAAGUCUGAUGUGAAAGCCCACGGCUCAACCGUGGAGGGUCAUUGGAAACUGGGGGACUUGAGUACAGAAGAGGAAAGCGGAAUUCCAAGUGUAGCGGUGAAAUGCGUAGAGAUUUGGAGGAACACCAGUGGCGAAGGCGGCUUUCUGGUCCGUAACUGACGCUGAGGCGCGAAAGCGUGGGGAGCAAACAGGAUUAGAUACCCUGGUAGUCCACGCCGUAAACGAUGAGUGCUAAGUGUUAGGGGGGUUUCCGCCCCCUUAGUGCUGCAGCUAACGCAUUAAGCACUCCGCCUGGGGAGUACGGCCGCAAAGGCUG